GAGUUUGAUCGUGGCUCAGAUUGAACGCUGGCGGCAUGCCUUACACAUGCAAGUCGAACGGCAGCAUGAUCUAGCUUGCUAGAUUGAUGGCGAGUGGCGAACGGGUGAGUAAUACAUCGGAACGUGCCCUGUAGUGGGGAUAACUAGUCGAAAGAUUAGCUAAUACCGCAUACGACCUGAGGGUGAAAGUGGGGGACCGCAAGGCCUCAUGCUAUAGGAGCGGCCGAUGUCUGAUUAGCUAGUUGGUGGGUAAAGGCCCACCAAGGCGACGAUCAGUAGCUGGUCUGAGAGGACGAUCAGCCACACUGGGACUGAGACACGGCCCAGACUCCUACGGGAGGCAGCAGUGGGGAAUUUUGGACAAUGGGCGAAAGCCUGAUCCAGCAAUGCCGCGUGUGUGAAGAAGGCCUCGGUUGUAAG
rnacentral:rRNA from 1 species